rnacentral:rRNA from 1 species
GGGUUGUGAGGUUAAGCGACUAAGCGUACACGGUGGAUGCCCUGGCAGUCAGAGGCGAUGAAGGACGUGCUAAUCUGCGAUAAGCGUCGGUAAGGUGAUAUGAACCGUUAUAACCGGCGAUUUCCGAAUGGGGAAACCCAGUGUGAUUCGUCACACUAUCAUUAACUGAAUCCAUAGGUUAAUGAGGCGAACCGGGGGAACUGAAACAUCUAAGUACCCCGAGGAAAAGAAAUCAACCGAGAUUCCCCCAGUAGCGGCGAGCGAACGGGGAGGAGCCCAGAGCCUGAAUCAGUGUGUGUGUUAGUGGAAGCGUCUGGAAAGGCGCGCGAUACAGGGUGACAGCCCCGUACACAAAAAUGCACAUGCUGUGAGCUCGAUGAGUAGGGCGGGACACGUGGUAUCCUGUCUGAAUAUGGGGGGACCAUCCUCCAAGGCUAAAUACUCCUGACUGACCGAUAGUGAACCAGUACCGUGAGGGAAAGGCGAAAAGAACCCCGGCGAGGGGAGUGAAAAAGAACCUGAAACCGUGUACGUACAAGCAGUGGGAGCACAGAGCAAUCUGUGUGACUGCGUACCUUUUGUAUAAUGGGUCAGCGACUUAUAUUCUGUAGCAAGGUUAACCGAAUAGGGGAGCCGAAGGGAAACCGAGUCUUAACCGGGCGUUAAGUUGCAGGGUAUAGACCCGAAACCCGGUGAUCUAGCCAUGGGCAGGUUGAAGGUUGGGUAACACUAACUGGAGGACCGAACCGACUAAUGUUGAAAAAUUAGCGGAUGACUUGUGGCUGGGGGUGAAAGGCCAAUCAAACCGGGAGAUAGCUGGUUCUCCCCGAAAGCUAUUUAGGUAGCGCCUCGUGAAUUCAUCUCCGGGGGUAGAGCACUGUUUCGGCAAGGGGGUCAUCCCGACUUACCAACCCGAUGCAAACUGCGAAUACCGGAGAAUGUUAUCACGGGAGACACACGGCGGGUGCUAACGUCCGUCGUGAAGAGGGAAACAACCCAGACCGCCAGCUAAGGUCCCAAAGUCAUGGUUAAGUGGGAAACGAUGUGGGAAGGCCCAGACAGCCAGGAUGUUGGCUUAGAAGCAGCCAUCAUUUAAAGAAAGCGUAAUAGCUCACUGGUCGAGUCGGCCUGCGCGGAAGAUGUAACGGGGCUAAACCAUGCACCGAAGCUGCGGCAGCGACACUGUGUGUUGUUGGGUAGGGGAGCGUUCUGUAAGCCUGUGAAGGUGU